rnacentral:rRNA from 1 species
UACGGAGGGGGCUAGCGUUGUUCGGAAUUACUGGGCGUAAAGCGCACGUAGGCGGCUUUGUACGUUAGAGGUGAAAGCCCAGGGCUUAACCCUGGAAUUGCCUUUAAGACUGCAUCGCUAGAAUUGUGGAGAGGUAAGUGGAAUUCCGAGUGUAGAGGUGAAAUUCGUAGAUAUUCGGAAGAACACCGGUGGCGAAGGCGGCCUGCUGGGCCGGUCCUGACACUGAGACGCGAAGGCGUGGGGAGCGAACGGG